AAGCAGCAGCUGGAAGGUGCUGUUUGGAACAAGAAGAGCAGUUUGGUAAACUAGUCAUUCUCACAGUAGCUAUUCUUCCUAAUACUGAUAGUUAAAAGAGGAUGGGAAGAAGAGCACUCUGGACAGCUAAGAAUAACAAGCAACAUUGAAAAGGAAAGCAAACCGAGCCAGAAAUCAAAAUAU